rnacentral:rRNA from 1 species
AAUAUUCGACAAUGGGGGCAACCCUGAUCCAGCCAUGCCGCGUGAGUGAUGAAGGAAAUAGGGAUGUACAGCUCUUUCAGUGGGGAAGAUAAUGACGGUACCCACACAAGAAGAACCGGCUACCUUCGUGCCAGCAGCCGCGGUAAUACGAAGGGGGCUAGCGUUGUUCGGAUUUACUGGGCGUAAAGCGCACGUAGGCGGAUUGGUCAGUUAGGGGUGAAAUCCCGGAGCUCAACUCCGGAACUGCCUUUAAUACUGCCAGUCUAGAGUCCGAGAGAGGUGAGUGGAACUCCUAGUGUAGAGGUGGAAUUCGUAGAUAUUAGGAAGAACACCAGUGGCGAAGGCGGCUCACUGGCUCGGUACUGACGCUGAGGUGCGAAAGCGUGGGGAGCAAAC